GGGUGGGGAAGUGUACCCCUCUCUUAAGGAAGCCUUGCAAGUCUUGUGACAAUGAAACAGGAGAGUUCCCUGAUUUCCUCCCGGCCCCCGCCCUCCCACAGCCCUUUGCAGGACGUGCAACAGGGUUGUGGCUCGUGUGUUCGGUCUCUGCCUGCUGAAACCCCUUAUGGGAGGUGGAGCAUGCAGACGGACGGGUGCAGGAGCCAGGGUGCAAAAGCUGGGGCGCUGGGCUUCCAGCCCCACGGCAGUGUCCAGGGGCAGGAUCCCGUGAUUCCCGGAGCCCAAAUGGGCGUGUGUUACAGUGUGCUCUUUUAGCCUUACCAUCAGCUGACGGCUUAAGUGUUAACCAGCUCAAUAGACCCUCUGCCUUUUUGCAAGCGCAGAGGGUCAGUGUGACAGUUUCUGUAUCUCAGCUCUUGUCUCACCUCCCAGAAGAAUCAGGUCACACAUGGACUUGAAGGAUGCCUGGUGUCUGGAGUUUAUACGGGUACAGGAUAGGGGGUCAUGGAGGGCCAAAAGACGGGCCUGUCUAAUUGCAGGAAAACAAACUCAGGGCUCCCACUGAUUCUACAUUACGAACACCAGAGACUGGGUAAUUAAUAAAAAGAAGAAAUUGAUCUGGCCUACAGUUCUGGAGCCUUGGAAGUCCGAGAUCAAGGAGCUGCAUCUGGAAAACACAGAUCCUGGUGCCGAACAUGAGGACAGGGCAGGCCGAAGGAGAAAGUGGAAGGAGGGGAGCUUCUCUCUCAGCCUCAUCCUUCUGGGCCUGGAUGCUGGAGAGUCAUGAGGUGCUUCAGAGUACUCUGGGUGAGGAGGGAAAGAUGGUGCCCACCACAUGGAGGCCAGCCUAGGUCUUGUAUGAAACCUGUGAGGCCAGCAGGAGCCAGGCCGUGGCCUGCUGACUGCAUCUGCCAGAUGACUACCAAUGUGUGAGUAAACCCAUUCUCAAGCCCAAGAGAACCUCUCAGCUGAACCAGGCCCAAGUUGCUCACCCACUGAACUGCCAGUUAAAUAAAUGGUGGUUGUUUUAAUCCACUAAAUGCUGGGAUGGUUUGUUAUACAGCAGUAGGUAUCAAUACAGUGUACUUGUCAAUCUAGGAAUUCCUGUCUUGUCAAAUCUGAGAAAAUUCUCGGUCACUGUCACUUCAAAUAUUACUUCUUUCCCAUUUUCUAUUCACUCAUUCCAAAACUCCUAGUGGAUGUCUUUUCUGUCAUUUCUGGUUCUGUCUUUUGUGAUCUUAAACUUUCAUUCAUUGUUUUUCCAUUUUUACUUCCGUGUUACAUUUUGAGUCAUUUCCUUAGUUCCAGUUUGCUUAUUUUCUAUUCAACCAUUAAAUAUUUCUAUUUAGUUUUAAGUUUCAGUGGCUAUAAGUUUCAUUUAUAAAAGAACUAUUUGGUUAUUUUCUAAAUCUGCAUUUUGUUUUCACAUGUUUUUCUGUUUUUUAAUUUGUAUUUUCCUUUGCCCUUGUAAAUCAUUUAAAAUGUACUUAUUUUAUAAUCAUCUGUGGCUUGAUCUGUUUCUUUACUUCUUGGGCAUUACUUUUUCUGUUAAUUUCAUGAUCUGACCCUCAAGGUGGUUUCCUCCUAUGGUUUGUAAUUUUUAUUAUGAGCUUAUUUUCAGCAGGGAUUUCUCCCCUCUGGUGAAGAUCUGUAUGCCUUGGGUAAUGUGAUUGUCACUUCACUAUGCCUGCAAGUUUGCUUCUGAUGGCAUCCUACCGAUAUCACCAACUCUCAACCAGCUCUAAUGUUUCUUGGUAUUUCUGCCCACAGUGAAAAUUCAGAGCUCACUUCAAUGCAUGGCAUGGGCUUGGCUUCAAGUUUUUCUGUAUGACCUUUUUUUAAAUUUAUUUUUAUUUUUUUAAACCUAUAGCCCAAGGACACGGGAGCUUUUUUUCCUGAUUUGUUUUUGCCAACACUGUAGCCCUCAGGAACUCAGAUUUUGCAAAGUGCUCAAUUCCAGUUGCCUUCCUUACUCACACCAGAGACAAUAUUUUAUUGGCCUGCAAGGGUGUUAAAAUCCCAAGGGUGUUAAAAUCCCCAGAUCUCCAGGGCCUAUCAUUGGUCCAAACCCUGCAGAGGCUACAGUGACAUUAGCCCCUACUUACUGCCCAGCCUCUGAGCUCCCUCUUUGUUUCUAGAAUCUGGGGAUUUCCCUUUCUCUCUGUCUAGAGAUUGUUGUGCUGGACCCCUAUUGACUCCAAUAGGAAUGGCACCAGGUUCAAGAGGCCAAAGAAGAGACCUGGAGCCAGCAAAUGAGACAUAAGAUUUGAUUUGGGGGAACUUAUGUACAGGGAUGGACUAGUGGCAGUGGGCUGGAUAAGAGAACCACAACUGCUUUCCAAAAGCCUGCAGUUUAUACAGCACCUUCACUCAGCACCCUCUCUCCAGCAACAUCCACAUGGCAACCCCCAUUUCCUAGGCUAAGUUAUUGCUGUCAGAUGUGUUUGCCAUACAGGCUGCUGUACAGAGUAUGCUUAAGUUAUUGCUGUCAGGUACAUCCACCGUAUAUAUACAUACACAUGUACGUAUAUAUACACAUACAUGUAUGUGUGUGUGUACAUAUUUGUACUCAUAUACAUGUGUAUAUAUAGAUAUAUAAAAAAAUUUUCUCUGUGUUUCCCUGUAACAGUAACUGAAGAGGGAAUUCUUCUAUAUAAUCUCAGUCCACUAUAUUGCUAGAAGUUCUCUUCUCUAUACUUUUGAGAUAUGAAUUUUACCUUUCAAUAUUCUAAAAUUAUAACAAAGCUAUAAAUUUUGGGAAUUGGUAUAUGUUUGUUUUUAGAAAAAUUGUUAGAAACAUAAUAGCAAUGGGAUGCUUUAACAUGCUACCUUGAACCUUUACCAAAUCAAGAGAGUAAAAAUUAAGCACAAAAGAGGGAUCUAAUACUAUAAACAAGGUAGAUUUAAUACAUAUGUAUCAAACAUAGUAACCUAGAAGCAAUGAAUAUACAUUUUCUGGUGCUCAUUUAACAUUAACGACCUUCAAGAAGGCUUUAAACAGCAACAGAUAGAGUUGAGUUGCUUUGGCCUAUUGCUAAAGGCAUCUAACCCACCUGCUUUGUGGGAGGUCAUCUGCUUUGAAUCUCAACUGUAUCCAAGUCAGAUUUAAACUCUAUGGGGCAUUGGAAUUGUCCUCUGAAUCAUCUCCAACUCUGCAGGAUACAUAAUAGCACCACUUUGUUGUUCUGGAAUUUAAAGACAGGGUCUUAUUCAACUUUGGCUAUUUUUGUGCAGUCCAUGGAUCCUUGAAACAGGACAUUCUACUUUACCAAUAUCUGACUCAUAGAAGACCUAUCUAUAUACCUACCAGGUGGCUACUACCCAGUAACUCCUACCGCCAAUACCAUGACAUUUGUUUUGAAAACCUUAGCUUAUUGCAAUAUUGCUUAUAAUUAUGAAACCUUAGAAACAACUGAAAUGCCUAUCAAAGAGAGAAUUUAUAAAUAAAAUGUAACAUAUUCACGUUCUAUUUUGAUAUGAAUUACCAUAAUAUUCUAUUAGGAUAUGAAUUGUUAUAAUGGCCAUUAGAAGGAAUGGAUUGUUCCCAUAUAUAACAUAAUAUAUCCAUGUAUAAAGUAUCUAUAUAAUACCAACACGUAACAUAAUGUAAAGAAAAGAGAUUCAUGGAAUAAAAUGUGCAUGUCAUUGAUAUAAAUUUUAAAAACACAGAAAUAAUACAUUAUAUUAAGACUAUAUAUGUAUGUAA
ensembl:lncRNA ZBED3-AS1 ZBED3 antisense RNA 1